rnacentral:rRNA from 1 species
CACGCCGUAAACGAUGAAUGCCAGCCGUUAGUGGGUUUACUCACUAGUGGCGCAGCUAACGCUUUAAGCAUUCCGCCUGGGGAGUACGGUCGCAAGAUUAAAACUCAAAGGAAUUGACGG